UACGAGGGGGGCGAGCGUUGUUCGGAAUUAUUGGGCGUAAAGGGUGCGUAGGCGGCCUGACAAGUCUGAUGUGAAAUCCCUGGGCUCAACCCAGGGCCUGCAUCGGAAACUGUCGGGCUUGAGUAUGGGAGAGGUGAGUGGAAUUUCCGGUGUAGCGGUGAAAUGCGUAGAUAUCGGAAGGAACACCUGAGGCGAAAGCGGCUCACUGGACCAUUACUGACGCUGAGGCACGAAAGCUAGGGGAGCAAACAGG
rnacentral:rRNA from 1 species